GCACGAUUGGUUUCGUCUCGAGUACCUUUUGAUUCUUUGCGCGCAACGUGUUUGAACGGAAAAGGAGGCAACCUCGUCGAAGGAGGCGUGGCUCUGAAUCGUGUUAACGACUCUAGCAAAAUCGUUCUCUUGUGCUCGGAACGCCAUCUUGAGAACUCAACGUGACGUUACACGACUGCGCUUGAACGAGGAACUAACGAGAUGGUACGGCGCACGAGAAUCAUUUAUUAUCGGAUAUGUUUAAGGAGUGCGAACCUGUCAACGGCAAUUCAAUUUCCGGAUUUCUGCACCGCGUAAUUCUAUAAAUGCAACAUUUGCAAGAAAUAAAAAAUACCACUUCAACAAAAAAUCACUCACUGAAACACACGUAAAAAUUCACAGUACGCUAGACGUCGCGUGUAUGCUUCUACAAGCGGCAACAUUGAACUGACCUACCAUGCCAGGAAGACAAGAGAGAGAGAAGGAGCGUGGAAGCUGGUUUUCUUUGAAAGGGCAACAAUUUAAAGGGACAUUCGAAAAGGUACAACCUACGUCCAACUAUGCGGUAUCUGAUCAUCUUUUCCCCGCGCUGUCCUCUUUGCGGGCAGUACUCGACUCUCAGAAGCUUAUAUACAUUUUUUGGCUAACAAAAGGUCGUUAAAAAUCCGUUAGAUACGGGUGUCAGAUAUGCGCAGCUCUAGUGUGCGGUUACGAGAGAAGCUCUCAAGUUAAGCUCUUUGUGCGUGAUUUGAAUGCAAUCGGAGGGAUGCCGUACGGUCGCCAUAGCAAAGGGAGAGGGGAAAAGUACGAGAUUGUUGGGCGGAGGGGUUAGCGGUGCUAAUCUCCGAUCAGUGUCGAGAGCGUAACGCGAUCCGACACGACGUGAUGUGAUCCAGACUCGAUAGGCGGCAAAUACAACCCUGCAGCAGCCUUGUGUAUAGUGUCGAGAAGGGCAAAGCUGCCGAGGCUUUACAAACCAUGCGUGACGUAUCUUACCAAAUUGAACUACUCGCACCGCGUAUUAAUGGAUGUGGACUUUACGCUAAGGUUAACGUACACUCGCGGAUUAUAAGCUUGGAGGUGUAGAAUGUGUUGUGGAAUUGUCGAAUAAAAUAGAAAAGCGCCAGCGCCAUCUGGAAGUAGUAGGUAAGAGGAGAGUUUAACCGACGAAGAGUGUUCAAGGAAAAUACUGCGUGCAAUAAACCCUUUUCUACCA